rnacentral:lncRNA from 1 species
UAUGCAUGGCAUUCAUCUAGAUAGUUAAAAAAAUCUGAAACCUUCUGCCAGAAAAAUGAAUAUUUUAGCUUGCAUUCAACUAAUAUGCCAACUUAUGGUUACUUACGUUUUACUCCUGUUUGUUACAGGUGAAAUGGGUGAAUAUCAGACAGCUCAUUAUAGAGACAAGAAUGCUGCAUUCCCAAAGUAGGAUGACAGAACAAGUCAUGCUCUUACCUGCUAAUUCCCAGAAUUACUCCCAGAACUCUCAGUCCCAUCUUUUUGUGAAUUGUCUGUGGGAACUACAUUCAAUUUUGCAUCUCUUUAAGUUCUUCCCAGAUACAACCUGUUUCCUUCCAUUGCUGAUUUUUAGGUCAAUUUGUUUCUGUACAGUGCUACUUAGCAGUGCUGUUAGCAGGACAUUUCAUGCUUUAUGUGGAGAAAAGACUGGUUGUGUCAUAGCUGUGAUAAUUACUAACAAGAUGAAAGUUGUCUGCAUACAGUAACACUGUUGGCGUGUGAAUACUUUCUACUGCAUUUAUUGGCUAGGAAUGAGACAGAAGUCCAGCAGAGCUUAGGAGCUGAAGUUCCCAAGUUUGAUCCAAAUUCAAUGAUGGCUGUGAGGAAACACCAGGAUUUUGUCACACCUUCUUAGGUCAAUGACAUUGGUUUGCUCACAUUCAGGAUAGAGUUUCUAACAACUGUGUUUUCAGGUUCUUUGUCUUCAGUGUAAGGUAUUUUUCUUUUUUUUGGACUUUAUUGAGAAAUUGUGAAAAUAUUGAAACUGUUGAGACACAACUGAGCUAAAGGGAAGAGGCCUAUUGAUACCAGUAUGACCAGGAUUUCACCAAAGGUCUUUUCUGAAACAAAAUACAAAUUUGUGAUGAAGACUUUUGUGUUCAUCAAAUGUAGAUUAACAACUUUCUACAAUGAAAACUGUUCCCAUGAAGUAACUGAGAUGAUGAAAGUACAAGAAGAAAAU